ACCCGCUGAACUUAAGCAUAUCAGUAAGCGGAGGAAAAGAAACUAACUAGGAUUCCCCGAGUAGCGGCGAGCGAAAGGGGAGAAGCCCAGCGCCGAAGCCCGCGGCCCCUGGUCGCAGUGCAAUGUGGCGUUACGGCUGCGGCUCGCCGCGACUGCUCUGGCACGCGUACCUCUGAAUGGGUCUGCCCGCAGCGGGUGUCAGGCCUCUACUUGCCAACGAGCGGUCGUGGCCCGCCGUAGCCGCGGAGUCGGGUUGCUUGAGAGUGCAGCCCAAAGUGGGUGGUAAGCUCCAUCUAAGGCUAAAUACCUAGUGCGAGACCGAUAGCAAACAAGUACCGUGAGGGAAAGUUGCAAAGAACUUUGAAAAGAGAGUUCAAGAGUACGUGAAACCGUUCAGAGGCAAACGGACGGAACUGGGCGAGUUCGUCGCGGCCAUUCAGCCGGCGCCCCUCAGCGGGUGCCGGUGCACUUGGCCGCGGCGGAGCGCGACGACCGCCUGCCCGGGUCGUCAGAAGCCCGGCGGCAAGGUGACGGGGCGCUCGCGCCUCGUGUUACAGGCCGCCGGCGCGUUGACAGACCUGGCGGGCGAGGAGCGCCUGCCGCGCACUCCCGCUUUGGCGGGAGCCGCCCGAUAUCCGGUGGGCUCGCGGACGCCGGCGACGAACUGCGUGCAGUUCGGAGUCGCGCGCUCUGCUUGUCUCGCUGUGCGGUGCGGCGUGGCGCGCAGGGUCCGGGUCGCGUGGUUCCCGGCACUCCGUCCGACCCGUCUUGAAACACGGACCAAGGAGUUGAGCACGCGCGCGAGUCGAUGGGCUCUUUCGAACCCCAGUGGCGUAGCUAAGGCAAAACGGGCGUGAUCCGGCACUGGCGUGUCGGCGCAACGCCGGCCCGCAGCCGACUCGACGAGUGGCUGCGGCGCAAGAGCGCGUGUGCUCAGACCCGAAAGGUGGUGAACUAUGCUUGAGCAGGGCGAAGCCAGAGGAAACUCUGGUGGAGGCUCGCAGCGAUCCUGACGUGCAAAUCGGUCGUCAAACUUGAGCAUAGGGGCGAAAGACUAAUCGAACCGCCUAGUAGCUGGUUCCCUCCGAAGUUUCCCUCAGGAUAGCUGGCACUCGGUAUCAAUGGUUUUAUCCGGUAAAGCGAAUGAUUAGAGGCAUUGGGGGCGAAACGCCCUCAACCUAUUCUCAAACUUUAAAUGGGUAAGAGGCGCGACCCUUCCUGAUGCGGGGUCGCGUGCUUGAACAGAGAGUGCCCAGUGGGCCGUUUUUGGUAAGCAGAACUGGCGCUGUGGGAUGAACCAAACGUGCGGUUAGGGUGCCUAACGCACGCUCAUGAGACACCACAAAAGGUGUUGGUUGAUAUAGACAGCAGGACGGUGGCCAUGGAAGUCGGAAUCCGCUAAGGAGUGUGUAACAACUCACCUGCCGAAUCAACUAGCCCUGAAAAUGGAUGGCGCUGGAGCGUGCGACCCAUACCGCACCGUCGGGGCAACGCGUGCGAAAUGCCAGGCCCCGAUGAGUAGGAGGGCGUGUCGGUGGCGUAGAAGCGUUGUGCGCGAGCACGCGUGGAGCCGCCUUCAGUGCAGAUCUUGGUGGUAGUAGCAAGUAUACAAAUGAGAACUUUGUAGACCGAAGUGGAGAAGGGUUCCAUGUGAACAGCAGUUGGACAUGGGUCAGUCGGCCCUAAGAGAUCGGAAAAUUCCGUUCUGAACGGGGGAGGCGCGCGUGCACACGUCGUCUGAACAUAAGCUAAGCUGUGCUCUGUAAAGCGCAUAGUGUGCCGUGCGACUGGCGUCCCCCGAUACGAUCGAAAGGGAAUCGGGUUAAUAUUCCCGAACCUGGCGGCGGAGAUUGGGCCCUCGGGCCCCAGUGCGGUAACGCAACCGAACUCGGAGACGCCAGCGUCGAUCCCGGGAAGAGUUCUCUUUUCUUUGUUAGGAGCGGACUCCCUGGAAUUGGCUUGUCCAGAGAUAGGGACGUUGCAUCCGUAAAGCGUCGCGCCUCACGCGGCGUCCGGUGCGUCGGCGUUGGCCCUUGAAAAUCCGAGGGAGGCAGUGUAAUUUUCGCUCCAGGCCGUACCCGAAUCCGCAGCAGGUCUCCAAGGUGAACAGCCUCUGGUCGAUAGAACAAUGUAGGUAAGGGAAGUCGGCAAAUCCGAUCCGUAACUUCGGGAUAAGGAUUGGCUCUGAGGUGCGGGCUGUUUCGGGUCGCGGCAAGAAGCGGACCGCGCGUUGGUUGGACUGGACGCGCUCACGCGCGUUCGGACCGCCGCCAGCGCGCGUCCGUGGGAGGCCGUGGCUUUCGCCGGCGUGGGCCUCGCGUCCGCGUCGGCUUCGUUCGGCCUAAACGCACAGCACAGAACUGGCACGGACUCUGGGAACACGACUGUCUAAUUAAAACAAAGCAUCGCGAUGGCCGCUGGUCGGUGUUGACGCGAUGUGAUUUCUGCCCAGUGCUUUGAAUGUCAAAGUGAAGAAAUUCAACCAAGCGCAGGUA
rnacentral:rRNA from 1 species